rnacentral:rRNA from 1 species
UACGAAGGGUGCAAGCGUUAAUCGGAAUUACUGGGCGUAAAGCGUGCGUAGGCGGUUUGUUAAGUCUGCUGUGAAAUCCCCGGGCUCAACCUGGGAAUGGCAGUGGAUACUGGCAAGCUAGAGUGUGUCAGAGGAUGGUGGAAUUCCCGGUGUAGCGGUGAAAUGCGUAGAGAUCGGGAGGAACAUCAGUGGCGAAGGCGGCCAUCUGGGACAACACUGACGCUGAGGCACGGAAAGCGUGGGGAGCAAACAGGG